GUGAAUCAUCGAAUUUUUGAACGCAAAUUGCACUCUCUGGUAUUCCGGAGAGUAUGCCUGUUUGAGGUUCAGUUUAUAUAAAAAUCGGUGUGUUUGCUGCUCUUCGUGGUUACGCACCGGAUUUGGGUCGUCUUUCCUUCGGUUAAGUGACCUAAAAUUUUGCAUGAUUCUUUCGAACGUAUUUAAAUGAUUUUACGUACGUUUGCGAUAACGAAUGCUAGGUGUGGACAUCCCCAUGAUUC
rnacentral:misc_RNA from 1 species